rnacentral:rRNA from 1 species
UACGGGGGGAGCAAGCGUUGUUCGGAUUUACUGGGCGUAAAGGGCGCGUAGGCGGCCAGCACAAGUCAGUUGUGAAAUCUCCGAGCUUAACUCGGAAAGGUCAACUGAUACUGUGCGGCUAGAGUGCGGAAGGGGCAACUGGAAUUCUUGGUGUAGCGGUGAAAUGCGUAGAUAUCAAGAGGAACACCUGCGGCGAAGGCGGGUUGCUGGGCCGACACUGACGCUGAGGCACGAAGGCCAGGGGAGCAAACGGG